rnacentral:rRNA from 1 species
UACGGAGGGUGCAAGCGUUGUUCGGAAUUACUGGGCGUAAAGCGCGCGUAGGCGGCUUGAUAAGUUGGGAGUGAAAUCCCGGGGCUUAACUCCGGAAUUGCUUUCAAAACUAUCAAGCUAGAGUAUGGCAGGGGACAGUGGAAUUCCUAGUGUAGAGGUGAAAUUCGUAGAUAUUAGGAGGAACACCAGUGGCGGAAGCGACUGUCUGGACCAUUACUGACGCUGAGGCGCGAAAGCGUGGGGAGCAAACAGG